AUUGAACGCUGGCGGCAGGCUUAACACAUGCAAGUCGAACGAGUGGCGGACGGGUGAGUAUUGUAUGGGAAACCGCCCGAUGGAGGGGGAUAACUACUGGAAACGGUAGCUAAUAUCGCAUACCAUCGGAUGUGCGCAGAUGGGAUUAGCUUGUAGGUGAGGUAACGGCUCACCUAGGCGACGAUCCCUAGCUGGUCUGAGAGGAUGACCAGCCACAUUGGAACUGAGACACGGUCCAGACGCCUAAGGGAGGCAGCAGUGGGGAAGAUUGGACAAUGGGGGAAAGCGUGAUGCAGACAUGCCGAGUGUAUGAAGAAGGCCUUCGGGUUGUAAAGUACUUUCAGCGGGGAUGCGUUACCCGCAGAAGAAGCACCGGCUAACUCCGUGCCAGCCGCCGCGGUAAUUC
rnacentral:rRNA from 1 species